rnacentral:rRNA from 1 species
AGCGACCGCUGGCGGCAGGCUUAACACAUGCAAGUCGAACGCCCCGCAAGGGGAGUGGCAGACGGGUGAGUAACACGUGGGAACGUACCCUUUGGUUCGGAAUAACUUGGGGAAACUCAAGCUAAUACCGGAUAAGCCCUUAUGGGGAAAGGUUUACUGCCGAAGGAUCGGCCCGCGUCUGAUUAGCUAGUUGGUGGGGUAAUGGCUCACCAAGGCGACGAUCAGUAGCUGGUCUGAGAGGAUGAUCAGCCACACUGGGACUGAGACACGGCCCAGACUCCUACGGGAGGCAGCAGUGGGGAAUAUUGGACAAUGGGGGCAACCCUGGUUCAGCCAUGCCGCGUGAGUGGUGAAGGCCAUAGGGUUGUAGAGCUCUUUUACCCGGGACGAUAAUGACUGUACCGGGAGAAUAAGCCCCGGCUAACUUCGUGCCAGCCGCCGCAGUAA